UUGGCUGAGCCGGGCGGGGGAAGGCGCGCGGGGGUCGGUUGGGCGGGGCGGAGGGCAGCCCGGCGCGUGCGCCCGGAGGCCGUUCCCCCUCGCGCGCCGGCCUCCGCCGCUUCCGCCUUCCCCUGAGGAGAGCCGGCGGGGCCCGUGGGCGGGCUGGCAGCUGGGUCGCGACCGGCCGGGGCUCCUCGGGAGACCGUCGGCUGCUCCCCGCGCCGGGGCAGGCCCUUCCUGGGAGCCCCGGUGGGGUGGGGGGGGGGAGGGGCUGUCCCCACGGAGCGCCGUGGGAGCCGCUUCCGAGGGGCCGAGAGGGCCGCUGGAGCGGCCCCUGCCUUCAGCCAGGCCUCCCGGCUCCGGGGGCUUCUGGGCCGGCCGGGUUCGUGCCCCGCUCCCCACCCUGGAGGCGAAGUGGCGUUCGCUCUUAGCGUGGGCCGAGACGACUAAGGCUCUUCCCGCCCCCCCGCCCGCGCCCGGGAAAGGGCCGUGCGCUUACACUGUCGUGGUAAAGGAUGCGAGGAAGUAAUUGAGCUUUCAGCUGGGAAGUGGUGUGGUUGCGUGAGUAAGGCUUGAAACGCCGCUCUGUCUGGGAUGUCCGGACGUGCCGGCGUGAACUUCCUAGCUGCCUUCCUGACCCGUGGCGAAGUAUCUGCUGGGAAACAGCCUUCACAGGGGCUGUCUGCAGGCUGUCGCCUCUAGCUUUGUGUACUGUAGUGACCUUUAGCUCUGGAAAACCAAACCACGGGUGUUUAGAAAGUUCACCGUGGCUUCGAAAUGCAUUCUCAAAAGUUUUGAGGCAGGACAUCUUGAACAACAGCCUCAGGCUGUCAUGAGUCAUAAACAAUUACAUGAAACAUUGUUUCUGAUGACUGACUUUGUUGGUCAGCCACCAAAAGGAGAUAGAUGUUCCUGCUGCUAAAGUGUGAGCCCAAACGAGAAUUACCUGUCAGAUAAGCAUUGGUUUGUAUUAUAAUAAUAUAAAAGCAAGCAUGUUUGUACUCCUGAUUUAUUUACUAUUAUUUUAUGCUUUGUAAUAUUUUCUUUUGAAAUCAUUACAUACAUAUGUAUAUAUUAAGAUAUAAAUGAAAAGUUUUUCUGGACUUUGGAGAGUGUUUGACAGUCUCUUUAAUCUGUGUCCAUGAAAAUACUGUUAUUUAGUGUUUUCUAUCCAUAAUUCUCAGCUUCUUUGAAGAAACAGGGGAGGUGCCAUUGUCAUAUUGCAGAAAGAGGUUAAAUACUCUAUGUUUUCGUGAAGCGUUUUGUAGCAGUAACUGAAUCUCUACAGUCAAAUGUUCUGCAUUUGGGAGAUUUGUUACAAUCCAUUUUUUAUGUCUGUCAUGCUGCGUUCUUCCUAUAUUUCUCACCUACCCUUGACGUUCUGGGCGCUUACAGGAUUUGAUCCCCCACAGAGCAGGCCCUGAGAACUAAAAAUUGCAAGGACAACAGUUCAUCUGGUAACACUGAGAAUGCUGCGUGAUCACUGACUCUUUCUAUUUCGUGAUAGAAUAAUUACUGAUGUAGAAAGCAAAUUCGGUAGCCAAGUCUCAUUUUCUGUGUGUGCUUGGUGCACCUGGGCUCCUCUCCUACUCCCUUCGGUGGAUAGAAGGUCGCGUGGAAGAUGUGACACAGGAGAGCUCAGCAUGAAAGUGUGUUUGACGUUCCUUUUGUCGAAGUGCUGUCUUCCCUUGCGUUUGUACUCCAUUACUGCCCAGGAAGCUGACAUACCUCCGCACUGCACCAUGCUGUGACUUGCAGCCUCAGCACUGAUAAUAAUAUGCAACUAAGCAGACAAUUUGUAUCCCUCAGCUUUUGUGGUAGCAAUCCUCAAUACUUAUGCAGAGGACACCUGGCUGAAGAAUGGCUCGCAGGCAUGGACUGGCAGAAGUAAUGUUUGUAAUGCAAGGAAUAUAUCCAGAAUGCCACAUCGCUGUGACGGGAGCAUGAGCUCAGCAGACGGCUUUCUUUUGUACUACAUGUCACUGUCCUAUGUGACCAACCUUUGGCAAGACACAGUGCUCUGAAUGCCUCUGCUCAGGUGCAUGUUUACCCGAAGGACUCCAAGGACUUUGUCUCCUUCCUCCCCCACGUUAGCCGUGCACACUACAGCAUGCCUGCUGUGGCAUACAGUGGUGUCCAUCCACCUCUCAUCUCCAUCCUCCAGCUAUGAUGAGUCUUGCCAUGAUGCUGUUCCCUGUCCUUCUUGGUGCCUUUUAUAAAGAUGGAGGAAUGAAGCACUGCUGCAUGUAGCGGAAAUGAUGCAGCAACCACUAUUUAUGUGGGGAAACUGGAAAAAGGAAAGCCGAAGUGAGUUGUGGGUGAUGAUGCAAAUCCUGGGCAAGAGUGAGGAGCAGACUUCUAUUUCCAGUCACCCUGUGUUUUGUCUUACCCUUGUUUCUUCGUACCUGAUUAUCUCUGUUCUGCGACAUGAAGGUGAUUGAUAGCACUGCAAACUGCUUUGACAUUUGCAGAGCACAAGCAGGGGAACACUUCAUUCGAUAACUCUUAGACAGGUGCCUGCUUAAGGAAAUUGGAGAAGGUGCCCGUAGGUGCAGAACAGCUUGCAGAAGGGUUCUGGUGGAGUCAUUGCCACAGCAUGGGCCCUGGUUCUCUUCAGGAGUUUAACCUUCCUAUCAGCUUUGGGGAGCUAAGAGUUUGCCGUAAUUUCAGACCUCUACAGCCAGAAGCAUUACCGUGCCCCUUUCUCCACCAGCAACUGCCAGCUGAAAGCAGGCAGUGGUGGCAGCAGUGCAUGCUGUUUUGUUGAAAUACUAAAUUUUACACAAUACCAGCUUGAAGUCACCUUAAAAAUAAUUUUUUAACCAUAGAAAUAGUAUAAUAAUGCUUAUGCUAAAAUGUAAACAGUAGGAUGAUAGGCCAGAGUACCAGUUCCUAGCUGGUGGGGUAUGCUGCUACUCAGUGUGAAAUCUGAAAUAAAGCAUGGGCUGGCACGGGGCUGGCACCCUCUGCUUCCCCUGAGGAUGCAGCAGCAUGUGUUCAAGCUGUGGUGCAGAAGAGGCUGCACCUGGCUGAGGAGGAAGAUGAAGUAUGCACGUGGUUUGACAGUACAGCUAAUCCGACCUAGUGACUAGCUGUUGCCAAGGGGGGCGGCUGUGUUUUACAGCCCUGACUAGUCUCUUUCCCCACUCCGUCCCUGUGCUGCUACUGGUACAUGUCUGACCCUGCAGUGGCCUGACUGAGGGAGCUGAGUGGCAGGAAAGUUUCCCUGCAUUUUGCAGGGCUAAUUUUCUGCUGAUUUUGCUUCCUGAACUGUCUCCUGAGACAUCAGACAGGUGUUGGUGCUAACGCAAAACAGGGUGAUGGGAAGGCAUAGCAAGUGAGGGGGAGUAGAAAUACCCUUUUAUGCAGCAGCUGGCUGUUAGAUUGUGUUUUCUGUACCCUCUGACUGAAUCCUGAGUCCUCCUAACAGCAAAUGUUACAAAUGCCUAUGCGGAAAUACGGGUGUGAGAUACAUACUGUAGUAGGAGAUAAUAAAAUCUGCUUUUGGUUUUCUUAGGAAAACCGGUUGGAAACGUGUUAACGUGUAUUUAAUAUAGCAACUGCUAAACUAGAGGAUAAAUAUAAAGAUAAAUCAGUUUAUUAACCUUAGCACUGACAAAUAGUCAUGAAAGCCAUUAGUCUUUCAUGGUCUCAGUCUCCCAUCUCGCUGGGAUGGUGAAGACCAUUAACGCUUAGGUAGCGUUCAGGUUGGCAAGGCAUGCUGGAGGGGCUUCGCAGCUAGCUCGGUAGCUAGUGGCAAUCUGUGUAAAAGUAGAGAUUUCUUCACAAGACUGUUAGUAGGAAGGCACUUUGUUUUAGAAGGGCCAGAUGUGCUACAUUUGACUUCUGAUGAGCUAUUUGCAAAAAUAAUCUUUUAGUGGCUUUUGGUCUUUGCUAGGGAUAGAGAGAAAAGCUACUGGAAAUUCAUUAUUUAUGCUUAGAUGCUUCCUUCUUUUCCAGCCGUUUCCCCGUACUGGAUUACCUUGAUGAUUUUGCAAGAAACUAUUUCCAUUCCAAUGAAUAAACAUCUCAGUAGGAAUCUAAUUUAAUUUUUAUGAAAUAUGCUGGAUCUUUUGAACCUACGAUCCAGGUUUUGCUGGAACAAGAACUUGGAAUGGCAUAUAAGAAUCUUUAAAAAAUCCUUCCUUUCACAUCACAGUAUGAUUGUAGACUCAUAAUUUCACCAGGUUUAUCUCUGUGACAGUUUCACAGUGGGAUGGCCAGCAGUGUUUUUUCGUACCUGAAGCAUCACUAGAAAAUAAUGAAGAGAUCUGAUGUCGCACUGUGUAUUUUUGUGCUAUACGAUUCAUUUGAUUCUUUAUAGAAGCUGCUGUCUAUAAUUACAGCACACUUGAGACAGAAAGAACACCUGAAAACUUAUCAGGGGGCUGCUAUGAAGAAAUACACAAAUCAUUUGUAAAUUCCCUCUUCUUGCUGAAAUCUUAGAGAAACUGUUGUCUCUUAUGUGUCAGGAGUGAGGGGGAGGUUAUGUUUCACUAAUGUCAAAAAGUGACCGUUCCUAGAUAGCGUCUAGUUAACAACAGCCCGAGGGUCUGUGCCAUCUCAUCGCUUGUACCACCGUUUAUGCACAUUGUCUCUCAUCAUCACUAUUCUUGAUGGAGUCUCAGCUUGAUAAGUUCUGCACUGAUAUGUAAGAAGGUGUUAUCGCUGCUCUGAGGAGCCUGCAUUCUGUGAGAAAAAAGGGGAAUCUGUCAUCAUCUGCCUUUCUUUUUUGGUUGUUGUUGGGUAAUCUCUUAAUCCAGUAAUAUUUUGAUCAAAACCUUGCAGGUGGUACAUGUCAAAUGGCCUUUUUGCAGCGAUUAAAUGAGGAAUUGUUUGUCAAGUAACUGUAUCAGGAAGGAUUUUCCAUGUGUGGGGGAAUGUGCAGGGAAAGGCCUGACAACCCUUGUGUGCUGAUUCCUGUUAUUCACUGGUGGAUCAAGUAUAGUGGAUUCAGAGUGUAUUUGAUUUUAUCAGUCAUUAAAACUGUUUCAAUUAAA